rnacentral:tRNA from 1 species
GGGGAAUUAGCUCAGUUGGUAGAGUAUUUGCAUGGCAUGCAAGGGGUCACCGGUUCGAACCCGGUAUUCUCCACUA